UCAUUAUAUAAGUUAUCGUUUAUUUGAUAGCACCUUACUACUUGGAUAACCGUGGUAAUUCUAGAGCUAAUACAUGCUAAAAACCCCGACUUCGGAAGGGGUGUAUUUAUUAGAUUAAAAACCAAUGCCCUUCGGGGCUCUCUGGUGAUUCAUGAUAACUUCUCGAAUCGCACGGCCUUGUGCCGGCGAUGGUUCAUUCAAAUUUCUUCCCUAUCAACUUUCGAUGUUUGGGUAUUGGCCAAACAUGGUUGCAACGGGUAACGGAGGGUUAGGGCUCGACCCCGGAGAAGGAGCCUGAGAAACGGCUACUACAUCCAAGGAAGGCAGCAGGCGCGCAAAUUACCCAAUCCCGACUCGGGGAGGUAGUGACAAUAAAUACUGAUACAGGGCUCUUUUGGGUCUUGUAAUUGGAAUGAGUACAAUUUAAAUCCCUUAACGAGGAACAAUUGGAGGGCAAGUCUGGUGCCAGCAGCCGCGGUAAUUCCAGCUCCAAUAGCGUAUAUUAAAGUUGUUGUGGUUAAAAAGCUCGUAGUUGAACCUUGGGCCUGGCUGGCCGGUCCGCCUCACCGCGUGUACUGGUCCGGCCGGGCCUUUCCCCCUGUGGAACCCCAUGCCCUUCACUGGGUGUGGCGGGAAAACAGGACUUUUACUUUGAAAAAAUUAGAGUGCUCAAGGCAGGCCUAUGCUCGAAUACAUUAGCAUGGAAUAAUAGAAUAGGACGUGUGGUUCUAUUUUGUUGGUUUCUAGGACCGCCGUAAUGAUUAAUAGGGACAGUCGGGGGCAUCAGUAUUCAAUUGUCAGAGGUGAAAUUCUUGGAUUUAUUGAAGACUAACUACUGCGAAAGCAUUUGCCAAGGAUGUUUUCAUUAAUCAGGAACGAAAGUUAGGGGAUCGAAGACGAUCAGAUACCGUCGUAGUCUUAACCAUAAACUAUGCCGACUAGGGAUCGGACGAUGUU
rnacentral:rRNA from 1 species